rnacentral:rRNA from 1 species
UACGUAGGCAGCGAGCGUUGUUCGGUGUUACUGGGCGUAAAGGGUGUGUAGGCGGUCCUUUAAGUUUGGCGUGAAAUCUCCCGGCUCAACUGGGAGGGUGCGCCGGAUACUGAGGGGCUAGAGUGCGGGAGAGGAGAGUGGAAUUCCUGGUGUAGCGGUGAAAUGCGUAGAUAUCAGGAGGAACACCGGUGGUGUAAACGGCUCUCUGGACCGCAACUGACGCUGAGACACGAAAGCGUGGGUAGCAAACAGG